rnacentral:tRNA from 1 species
GGUGGGAUUCCCGAGCGGUCAAAGGGGACGGGCUGUAAACCCGUUGGCUCAGCCUUCGAAGGUUCGAAUCCUUCUCCCACCA